UACGGAGGGUGCGAGCGUUGUCCGGAAUCACUGGGCGUAAAGGGCGCGUAGGUGGCCCGUUAAGUGGCUGGUGAAAUCCCGCGGCUCAACUGCGGGGCUGCCGGUCAUACUGGCCGAGCUAGAGCACGGUAGGGGCAGAUGGAAUUCCCGGUGUAGCGGUGGAAUGCGUAGAGAUCGGGAAGAAUACCAGUGGCGAAGGCGUUCUGCUGGGCCGUUGCUGACACUGAGGCGCGACAGCGUGGGGAGCAACAGG
rnacentral:rRNA from 1 species